rnacentral:SRP_RNA from 1 species
GCCGGACAUGGUGGCUCAUGUCUGUAAUCCUAGCACUUUCGGAGGCUGAGGUGGGAGGAUCACCUGAGGUCAGGAGUUUGACACCGGCCUGGCCAACAUGGUGAAACCCCAUCUCUA